rnacentral:rRNA from 1 species
CCAAUAGCGUAUAUUAAAGUUGUUGCAGUUAAAAAGCUCGUAGUUGAAUUUCGGGAUCAAUAUGCUGGUCGUGCCUUUGGUACGUACUGGUAUUAUUGGUUUCUCCUUUCUGAUGAAUCACGAUGUCAUUAAUUUGGUGUCAUGGGGAAUCAGGACUGUUACUUUGAAAAAAUUAGAGUGUUUAAAGCAGGCUUACGCUUGAAUACAUUAGCAUGGAAUAAUGACAUAGGACGUUUAAUUCUAUUUUGUUGGUUUCUAGGAUUGACGUAAUGAUUACUAGGUAUAGUUUGGUGCAUUAGUAUUCAAUUGUCAGAGUUGAAAUUCUUGGAUUUAUUGAAGACUAACUACUGCGAAAGCAUUUGCCAAGGAUGUUUUCAUUAAUCAAGAACGAAAGUUAGGGGAUCGAAGACGAUCAGAUACCGUCGUAGUCUUAACCAUAAACUAUGCCGACUAGGGAUCGGAUGAUGUUAAUUUAUAACUCAUUCGGCGCCUUACG